UUUUUACCCCUAGGCUUCGUGAAAACUGGAACGCCUCCCAAUGGUGCCAGAAGCCAGCUGUGGGAAGUCUGCUCCCCUGGGCUCUCCUUUAAAUAGAGUUUAUGUUGGGAUGAGUUUGUUUCCUCUGCUCUCUAUCUUGAAGUCCUAACCCCAGUCAGUGCUUCAGAAUGUAGCUGUAUUUGGAGGCGGGAGCUUCAUGGAGAUUACUGCCUUGAAAUGAUGUCACUACAGCAGUCUGAAGCCAAUGUGACGAAUGUCUUUAUCAGAGGACAGCGAUGAGCCCAGAGGGAAGACGGUGCCAACACAGAGCAAGACAAGUCUUGGGUUGGUUCCCCAGGAAACAGACCAACAGGUGACAGGAAAGAAACAUGGGAAAUCAGCUCAAGAGGAUGUAGAGGUGGAAAAGCUCACAGUCUCCUGUCUGCAUGCUGAAAACCCAGGAGCUAGAACAAUGAUGUUUGCCCUCAUCUGAGGGCAGAGACCCAGGAAUCCACUACUGUAAUGACCAACAUUCUCCCUUCCAUCUUGUUUUACUGAAGACCUCAGUGAACUGGACAAGGCUCACUCACACUGCUUUUCUUACUCCAUUUCCUGCAAGACUGAGUUGCUUAUCACAGACUGACACUUCCCAUGCAAGCUUCUUCUGCAUGCCUCCCUGCUCCAAGGAUGCUGGACUGAAGAGACCCUGAGAUCUAGAAAUGUUGAUGAAACCUGAGUUUUCAUGUGUUCUUAGAGCUCUGAGGACUGAGGCAAAAACCAAGGGACCAGACGGAUGCCAAACCCUGCGGACUCAAACUUGCAGAAUUACGUGCACAAUAAACAGCUAACAGCAAAGGCAACUA